rnacentral:rRNA from 1 species
CACGUAGGGACCAAGCGUUGUCCGGAUUUAUUGGGCGUAAAGCGCUCGUAGGCGGUUUGGUAAGUCGGGUGUGAAACCUCCAGGCUCAACCUGGUGACGCCAUCCGAUACUGCCAUGACUUGAGUUCGGUAGGGGAGCGGGGAAUUCCUGGUGUAGCGGUGAAAUGCGCAGAUAUCAGGAGGAACACCGGUGGCGAAGGCGCCGCUCUGGGCCGAAACUGACGCUGAGGAGCGAAAGCGUGGGGAGCAAACAGG